UUCACCACAACUAUCAAUAAUCUCCAAAUUUCUCAAAGAUAGGUCAUACCAAACUAUAUCAUCAUUAGUGAGAGACAUAAGUAUCUGAGACCACCUUAGACAUUGUUUGUUCUCCACAAAAGCAAGCGUCUGAGGCAAGUACGAAAUAAACCACUUGUACAGAAGAGGAAUGCAACAGACAAUCGUUCCACCACCCUUAGAAUUCCUUAAAUGCAAAGAGAAAUACAUAUCUCCCA
rnacentral:lncRNA from 1 species